rnacentral:rRNA from 1 species
AGUGAACGCUGGCGGUAGGCCUAACACAUGCAAGUCGAACGGCAGCACAGUAAGAGCUUGCUCUUACGGGUGGCGAGUGGCGGACGGGUGAGGAAUACAUCGGAAUCUACUUUUUCGUGGGGGAUAACGUAGGGAAACUUACGCUAAUACCGCAUACGACCUGCGGGUGAAAGCAGGGGAUCUUCGGACCUUGCGCGAUUGAAUGAGCCGAUGUCGGAUUAGCUAGUUGGCGGGGUAAAGGCCCACCAAGGCGACGAUCCGUAGCUGGUCUGAGAGGAUGAUCAGCCACACUGGAACUGAGACACGGUCCAGACUCCUACGGGAGGCAGCAGUGGGGAAUAUUGGACAAUGGGCGCAAGCCUGAUCCAGCCAUACCGCGUGGGUGAAGAAGGCCUUCGGGUUGUAAAGCCCUUUUGUUGGGAAAGAAAAGCAGCAGGUUAAUACCCCGCUGUUCUGUCGGUACCCAAAGAAUAAGCACCGGCUAACUUCGUG